GGCCCCUUCGUCUAGUGGUUAGGACGCCAGGUUCUCAUCCUGGUAACACGGGUUCGACUCCCGUAGGGGUCA
rnacentral:tRNA from 1 species